UACAGAGGGUGCGAGCGUUAAUCGGAAUUACUGGGCGUAAAGCGUGCGUAGACGGUAGCGUAAGUCGGGUGUGAAAGCCCCGGGCUCAACCUGGGAAUUGCAUUCGAGACUGCUCUGCUAGGGUGCGGAAGAGGGAAGCGGAAUUUCCGGUGUAGCGGUGAAAUGCGUAGAUAUCGGAAGGAACACCAGCGGCGAAAGCGGCUUCCUGGUCCAGCACCGACGUUCAGGCACGAAAGCGUGGGGAGCAAACAGG
rnacentral:rRNA from 1 species